UACGGAGGGGGCUAGCGUUAUUCGGAAUUAUUGGGCGUAAAGGGCGCGUAGGCGGCCCGGUAAGUCAAAGGUGAAAUCCCUCGGCUCAACUGAGGAACUGCCUUUGAAACUGUCGGGCUUGAGGCCGGGAGGGGGUAGCGGAAUUCCCAGUGUAGCGGUGAAAUGCGUAGAUAUUGGGAGGAACACCGGUGGCGAAGGCGACUACCUGGCCUGUUCUUGACGCUGAGGCGCGAAAGCUAGGGGAGCAAACGGG
rnacentral:rRNA from 1 species